rnacentral:tRNA from 1 species
GGUCCAAUAGUGUAGAGGUUAUCACAUGGGAUUCUGAAGAGCUCGCCUUUGACAGUGGGAUUUCCCAUGACCCAGGUUCGAGUCCUGGUUGGACCU